AACGCAAAUUGCGCUCUUGGGUAGCCCUAGGAGCACGCCUCUCUCAGUAUCGGUUCAACAACCUCUCAGCAGCGUAUAGAAUUUAUUCUAUAUGUGUUAGCUGGAUAAUGAGAGUCUAAUCCUCACAGAUUAGUCUCUUUAAAUACAUUGAGUGAGCAUCACAUUUUUAUACUUUCUUUAAUGAAAAGCUGGUCUCUGACUGGUUGUAUAUGAGUGACGUGAAUACUGAGCCUUGUGCUCUAUCGUUUACGUGUAACUUAUAUAUGGCUAUUAAAGGUCUAGGAUUGGUGUAUAAAAAUAAUGUUCAUGUAAAGCUGCUUUUAUUAGCCGCAAUCGAUUUUAAUUAAUUUUGAAAUCUGUAUAUUGAUCUGAGAUGAAGCGAGACAACCCCCUGAAUUUAA
rnacentral:misc_RNA from 1 species